rnacentral:rRNA from 1 species
UACGUAGGUGGCAAGCGUUGUCCGGAAUUAUUGGGCGUAAAGCGCGCGCAGGUGGUUUCUUAAGUCUGAUGUGAAAGCCCACGGCUCAACCGUGGAGGGUCAUUGGAAACUGGGGAACUUGAGUGCAGGAGAGAAGAGUGGAAUUCCACGUGUAGCGGUGAAAAUGGCGUAGAGAUGUGGAGGAACACCAGUGGCGAAGGCGACUCACUGGCCCGAUACUGACGCUGAGGCACGAAAGCGUGGGGAGCAAACAGG